CCUACGGGGGGCAGCAGUGAGGAAUAUUGGACAAUGGGCGGAAGCCUGAACCAGCCAAGUAGCGUGCAGGAUGACGGCCCUACGGGUUGUAAACUGCUUUUAUACGGGAAUAACGCGCCUUACGUGUAGGGCUUUGCAUGUACCGUAUGAAUAAGGACCGGCUAAUUCCGUGCCAGCAGCCGCGGUAAUAAGGAAGGUCCGGGCGUUAUCCGGAUUUAUUGGGUUUAAAGGGACCGUAGGCCGCAUGUCAAGCGUGCUGUGAAAUGUCCGGGCUCAACCCGGGCCUUGCAGCGCGAACUGGGGUGCUUGAGUCCGCGGAAAGCAGGCGGAAUUCGUCGUGUAGCGGUGAAAUGCUUAGAUAUGACGAAGAACCCCGAUUGCGAAGGCAGCUUGCUGCAGCGGAACUGACGCUGAUGCUCGAAAGCGCGGGUAUCGAACAGGAUUAGAUACCCUAGUAGUC
rnacentral:rRNA from 1 species